CAAGAGCCCAAAGGUCUGAACUUUAAGACCAGUUGGGUGUGAGGGUGGGGAACCCGCCCUCUGGAGAAGCCUCCCUGCGGCCUGGGCCCAGAGGGUGUGCACGCGGCAGGCACCGGCGGUCGUUCAGCUGUGCCCAAAGCUUCGCGGCUUCCAACAGGGCUUACCAACGUCCACACACGCCUGUCAUCCUGAAGCAGAGCAGAGCUCACUCCUGGCACCACGUGGCUACAGACCAGGCAGGGGGCAGGAUGGGAGGGAAUGGGGCUGACCCUGUUCCAGUGAGACAACCCAGAAAGCUGAAGGAAGCGCCCUCCGGUCAGUGCUGGCGGAGGGCUCGCCGGGGCAGGAAAGUGCGGCACAGGCGAAAUGAAUGACCGCGACGUUCACACUUGACUUUCUUUAGUGUUUAGUUAAAAUGGGGAGCAACAAAAGAAAACAGGCAGCAGAGCCUCCGCCUUUCAGUGUGGAAGCAGCAGAGAGAAGAGGGGUGCCGGGGGCAGAGCUGUGCCUGGACCCUCACGGGGUCCUCUCCAGAGCGUGGAAUUCAAGCAGAAAGGGAUUCUGGGGGUAGCUUUUCACCUCUGUGAAUUAUCGAAUGUUUUAUCAUAAACACUUACUUUAGAAUUUACGUAUUUUUUAAUACGAUACAAAAAUGGAAGGGGAAGCCAGUAUUACACUUCUGGAAAACACAUGUACCAAGGGCGUAUCAA
rnacentral:lncRNA from 1 species